UCGAGAAUCAUUCGCAAUGAGCGAAAGCCUGACGGUGCGACGUCGCGUGGAGGAUGAAGGCCUUCGGAUUGUAAACUCCUGUCAUGUGGGAUAAAUGGCCGGGGCACGAAUAGUGCCUCGGAAUGAUAGUACCACAGGAGGAAGAGACGGCUAACUAUGUGCCAGCAGCCGCGGUAAUACAGAGGUCUCGAGCGUUGUUCGGAUUUACUGGGCGUAAAGGGAGCGUAGGCGGUUCGGUAUGUCGAAUGUGAAAGCCCACAACUCAACUGUGGAAAUGCAUUCGAAACUGCCGGGCUAGAGUACUGGAGAGGAGAGCGGAAUUCUUGGUGUAGCGGUGAAAUGCGUAGAUAUCAAGAGGAACACCGGUGGCGAAGGCGGCUCUCUGGACAGAUACUGACGCUGAGGCUCUAAAGUUAGGGGAGCAAACAG
rnacentral:rRNA from 1 species